rnacentral:sRNA from 1 species
GAUACUAGAGUCUCAAAGGAUUACCCACUCUUCAACUUGUUGUAAGAGGGGGUAAGUCCUUGAGACUCGUACAGACAUGAGUACGUAGCCAUUUUCCGCAAGGAAAAUGCGCGGAGUACGAAUGCCUGUACGGAUUGCGGGAGCACGCAGUGCGGAGCAAUCCGCAGUAU